GUAGUCGGAUUUAUAUCAAUCCACAUGUGUUGAGGUGGGUUGGAGUGGAACUUGAACUAAAUUCCACCCCAAUCCACUCUAAAUGGAUUGAGGUCAAUUCAACA
rnacentral:pre_miRNA from 1 species